rnacentral:lncRNA from 1 species
GUGAUAGUGAUCUGUUCAAAGGACUCGGUCUGCAUUAAUUGACGUUUCUGCCUUGGCUUGGGUCUGUCAUCCCUCACCCUUAUCCCAGGCUGCAUUCUGGAGCCUGAGUCCAUCUCUGCUCUAGUACUUGGAAGGUAAGUCUCACUAAGUCCAAUGGAACUUACAUCUAUCCCAAGUAUCCACUAUGAGGCUAGACAGGUGGUGUUUUUCAGCUGCUCUAAUCAAAAUCUCUGCUCAGAGGUUUCUGCUGUGAACUGUCUACUUUGCACAUUUAAUCUGACUUCAAAGUGGUUUAAUUGUCAAAGCUUUCCCCAUAUAAACCUUUUUUGUGUAAUUUUUUUAAAUCGGGGAUUGUUGGAGCUUUCAGAGGUCUGCAAUUCCAGGAGCUGACUGAACCUGAGAACUGGAGGUUGCAAUCGUCUACACUUCCCCAAUGGGAUUUAUGCCUGAGUAAACAUGCAUGGUCUCAGCACCGGAUUCGAAACUGAAAGAGGGAGAGGGGAACAAAUAGUUUCUUUUCAUAGUAUGUGCCCAUCCAUGACUUUGGAAGGAGCCACUACUGAUACUCCGGGGUUUUCUUACCUGUCUACAUCUGGGUAUUUCUGUAAGUCUGCAGUCUUGGUCCGGAAAUGACAUGGGACUGCAGGAAGCCCUACCUUUGUAUAAGCUGUGUUUUGACCCUGUGCUACAUAUUCAACAAAUGUUUGUCUCUAGCGUCACUCCAGACCUCAUUGCCUAAUGUGACUUCAUUGCCUAAUGUCAUCCGCAUGCUGUCAAAUAGCAUCAUAUCACAUGAUAACUUUUCAUUCUCCAGCAUUUUGGGUGAUCGUGAACGGAUGGUUCCAGGGUUACCAGGCAUACUUACCUGGUGUUUCCUUUUGCAAUGAUGAGACAUAAUGGAGACACUGGUGACUUCUAAGAUAUAUGGUUUAUUUACACAUAUAGACAACCUGAAUCUAGAUGGAGAGAGUGCAUUCACAUCCCACGGGGUCCUUUUCCUUCCACUGCUGCAGCCUUCAGAUUCAAGAGACCUCAAACUUCAUGUCUGACCCUCUCUGCACUAUAAAACACGGCUCGCCUCGUGCUCUGCGCCCGCCUCUCCAGCUUGCAAAACAGACUUUUUCCUUGCUUGCUUACCUCAUUGUCCACUGCAGUGCUGCCCCUCCCUCCUGAAACUCUGGCCUUUUGUCUCUGCUAACUGUCUCUCACCUCAGCAAGGGACUUUACCCAUUUCUCUGUUAAUGGCUUUCUUAAUGAGUUAAUGACUUGGCCAUUGUUAGCUACAGGAAAGUUCAGGCAGAAAAGCUGCUUUGUAUAUGUGGGACUCAAGCCAUAGAAGACCUUAUACCCUACCUGUGUCUUCUAAACUGAGAGCUAAGUACAUUUGCAAACUAUUGUGGAAGAUGCCUGAUGUGAAUGAUCAGUGAAGAUCACAUAUUUGCUGGAUCCAAUAAGUUCAUGCCUGACAAUGUUGCAAGAUUCACAGUGGCAGCCCCAAAACUGGGAAGAGCUUUCUUCAAAGACAAUAUGGUGGAUUGUAAAGUCUAAUUGGCAAUGACAGAUAGAAAUUUAUUUGUGUAGGUCCAUCUUUCAAGGUAUAUAUGUAUAAAAUAGUUAUCACUGUAUUUUAUCAGGGUAUCUGCACAGUGUACAUAGAAUACUUUCCUUUCCUUUUUGGUUGAAAUGACCAAGAUGGCCACAACAAAAAAUAAACUUUGACUUAGUUAGUUCCUUCAAUGACCGACACUUAGCUAGCUUUGCCAAGCUGGCUUGUUAGCACAAGCUGAAUCUGGCCAGGUUUGGCACAAUUUAAUCAAACCUUGAUUAAUUCUAACUUUUACCAAAUCCAGGAAUUAAGGGGAGGACCCAAGAGUUUAGGGAAUCCUUAUCCCCCCUGAUUUAUAGCAGUGUGUUUUAAACAGAUUUUAUAUAUGUAUAUAGUUUUGAUUCUAUCAAUGUUUGAUUGUAUUUUAAUGACUGAUUUUUUCUAUGCUUUUAUCUGUUCUUAGUUUUAUCUGCAAGUUGCCUUGAGUCCCGUCAGGGGGAAACAUGGAGUAAAAAUAAUUAGAUAAUGAUCAUAAUACUACUAAUACUACUAGAGCAGUUUUAUAAACCUGCUCUUCCAGAGUUUGUGAAAAUCUUGCAGGAGAAGAAACACCCAAGAUGUGAUGUAGUUAUUUUAUAUUUGACUGUGAUUAGGUCAUGGCAUGAAAGCUGCCAAAACUGCAGGCACACUCCCCUCUCUUUUCAAACUAAAUAGCAUGGUUUGUUUCUGUCAUGGUGGGUUGGAGAACAAUUAUAAUUCCUAUUACCAUUUCGUUAACUGACACCAUUGUCCAACCAGAUGUUCCUAGAGAAACAUUCUAAGAACUGGCAAACUCCAAAGGCUGUCAUUUUGUAAUUCAUUUUCGUUUUGUUAAGUGUAAACACGCUAGAUCCUGGUUUGGACCCAUGCUGAAAGGUUACAACAAUGAGCAGCAUCGUGGCGCCCAUAACAAAGCAUCAAGAAGAGGAGUGAGGUAAACAGCCAGCGACUACAAGUACCAUUCAUUCAUUCAAAGCAUUCAUUAAACCGUAGCAAGGACACUGUAUGCUAGGAGCUAAAUCCUAUAAAAACUUAGAGCUCAGGACCUAAAUACUAGGGGUAGUAAACCUGUAGAAACCUAGUUUUGAGCCCUACCCAAGCAAAGAAGCCGGGGGGGGGGGAGGUCACAGUAAACCAGAAUCCUAGAAUAAACCCUAACUUUGGAAGGUGCCAUUGCACUCAUGUUUGUGGACUUUGCACAGCUUCCGGUUGGCUUCUGGGAAAACAGGAUGCUAUACUAGAUGGCUCUUUGGCCCCUGUUUUAGCUGGCACACUCACUUGCCCUCUUCCUCUGGCAGAGAUGGUGUUUGGGUUUACUUGGCCCCAAGGGCAGAUCUACUCUGAAACAAAUGAAGCUUCAGCUUCAGGGCCCCUCAUCCCAGAGGGACCCCAGAAAUGACUUUAGUCCACAUGGCCUGAAAAUGAUGGGUCCAGUAGACCCAAUUUAAGUCAUAUGACUCAGAUUGAUGGCCUUUUUGUUGUAUAUAUUGCAACAAUCCCAAAGUUUGAGAGUCAGUAGUACAGAUGUUGUAAAGAUGGAUUGUCGUGGUAACUUGAAAACUAUAAGGCACAGGAAUUUUUUUAUUCACAACAGUGACUUUGACAUGUGAGAGUUUAAUCAAAAUCUGAGAUGUAGUGGUAUUAUUAUUUAAAUGUGAUCUGUCAUGGAAAAACCCCAUUGAAGAGGAUAACAGUGGUUCUCCAGACCCAAUUUCCGGUUGCAAAGGAGCCCCCAUGACAGUCAAGCUUCAGGGCCCCAUAAAUGUAGAUCCACCACUGCUUGGCCCAAUCCCAGCUGCUGACCAGAAGAGUUUUGGUUCAGCAGCAGCUCUUCUUCCACCUCUUUUGCAGGCAAGAGGCAGCAGAACAGAGCAACCCCCACUGCCUCUGCUGACCGUUGGCCAUGGUGACUUGGGUGGAUGGAGAGUUGCGACCCCCCUACACUUGGAGGGCAUCACAUGGGCUACUCCUGCUUCUUUAAAAGGGACAUUGAAUGAAGUUUUAUGGAGCUACAUCAACUGAGAUGCCUGGAAAUAUUGCUAGUACUUUUGGCAUUAACUAAACCAGUUUCAGGGCUAAGCACAAUGGUGUGAACUGUCCCAGGGCAGCUGACAUCUAAAUUGGCAGUCCAGCAUCUGUAAAAAUCCUCUUCAGCACAGUUUUAUCUCUUACUGGUUUCUUCCUUCUUAUGCAAUGACAUUCAUGUUUUCAGCUUUUGGUAUAUUUGACUGGUAUAGAUUAUUUUAAAAAUAGCUUUACAUACCGUAUUUUUUGCUCUAUAAGACUCACUUUUUCCCUCCUAAAAAGUAAGGGGAAAUGUGUGUGCGUCUUAUGGAGCAAAUGCAGGCUGCGCAGCUAUCCCAGAAGCCAGAACAGCAAGAGGCUAUCCCAGAAUCUAGAUCCCUCUUGCUGUUCUGGCUUCUGGGAUUCAGAAUAUUUUUUUUCUUGUUUUCCUCCUCCAAAAACUAGGUGCAUCUUGUGGUGCGUCUUAUAGAGUGAAAAAUACCGUAAUUUCUUACAACAAGAUAGAUACACCUUCUUGAAGAUACAGAAACCGUCCUACAGGGAUUAGAUAAAACAAUUAUUUCCAGAAUUAUGGGGAUAAAUUACUAUGCUGGCCCAUUUUGCAGCAUCUAGUUUUACAUUCUGUAUCACUCUCUAAUAGAAGCUAUUCUGUGUUGUUUUGCAUCCAGAAAUGCAACUAACCAUCUAUGGCUCUUUUGGUAUAGAGCUGAGCUUGGAGAGCCUAGGACUUGCCGAUCUGAAGGUCAGUGGUUCGAAUCCCCGCGACUGGGUGAACUCUCGUUGCUCGGUCCCAGCUCCUGCCCACCUAGCAGUUCGAAAGCACAUCAAAGUGCAAGUAGAUAAAUAGGUACCGCUCCGGUGGGAAGGUAAACAGCUUUUCUGUGCGCUGCUCUGGUUUGCCAGAAGCGGCUUAGUCAUGCUGGCCACAUGACCCGGAAGCUGUACACCGGCUCCCUCAGCCAAUAAAGCGAGAUGAGCACCACAACCCCAGAGUCAGCCACGAAUGGACCUAAUGGUCAGGGGUCCCCUUUACCCCUUUACCUUUACCAGUUCAGUAUGUCCAAAAAGGACCAGUUCCAGCUCAGUUCACUCUUUUACAAAACAAAGUAGCUAGAUUUAAGUCCAUCCAAAUUAUUAAUGGCAAAAAACAGCAUUCAGAAUAUUACAAUCUGCUAUGCUGAAGUAAAAAAAUAUAUACCGUACUUAAGAAGACUAAGAAAACAUCAAAGCACAGACACAGCAUCUUUAUCCCAGUAUUCAGCCAAAAAUGUUUCAAGAGCUGCUGAGGGAAGAAGGGAAGGUAUUUUUAUUGUAUUGCUUGGCUCUCUGCUUAUCUUUGCAAUAGGCAACACUAUGUACCAUAAUUGCUGUGCGGCUACAGAACCAUUCGUCCUCCCUAUUUCUCUUUCUCUUUUUCUCUCUCUCUCACAUACAGCCACUGCUACCCCUCACAGAAGAGGUAACUGCCCCUGAAAAGGUUUUUGUGUUUUGCCAGGGAAGGGGGGCAAGCAAAUGGCUUAUUUUGUUGGUGUUGCAAAUCAAAGAAGGGUAAAACAUUAGGAUAAGAGACCAUCUUCUCACUCUUUUUCUCUCCCAAGUUCUCCCUACCACCACUCAAUAGUAAAUAAUUAGAGGUGAUCCCAUUUGUUAGUGUUCUCUCUUGGGAUUUUCAGGAAGGACACUGUGCCCUACAAGCAAGUUAAGCACAGGGGUGUGUGGGGUCAGGGGUGGGUGCAGUGCUGGCCUGGUCUGUAUGUGAGCAUGAGGCAAACUGUUUCAAAGAAAAGAACCAACACACCAAUCUGGCGGUGAUGCAUGGAUGCCGAAGCUCUUCAGUGCAGACAGCAUUUAAACACCCUCACUUCUAGCAAAGCGCAUGGGCCAGAGACAUGGAAUCAGUGAUACAGUGACAGAAUAUGGACAAACCAAAUAAGACUUUAGCCCCUCCCCCUCCCAUUCAAUUUGUUGCACUUUGUUCCUGAGAAGCUUAUUCCACAUUUCUGGGGCCACCACAGAAAAUGUCCUACUCCUAAUAGAUGACAGCUUCACCUCCUGAGAGGACACAACCUGAAGCAAGAACUCAUUGAGGGUUUUGCUUUGUUUUUACAAUCAAGUGGUGUAUCGAUUUUAUGAAAUAAAUAAAUGGGCAAAUCUUAAAGCUCUCAAGGAGACAUACUGCACAGGGCGAGUGGCAGGGUCUGUAUUGAGGGAUGGGGCUUCUGGGUCAGCAGAGCUAGAGGGUGUUGACCUUCCUCCCUUGAUCUGCUCCAGGGCCCAACGCAAAGGCAGGGAACCAGGCAGCGUGCCACCUGGCCUCUCACCAAAGCAGGAACUGUACCUGAGGCCCAAAGCAGCCACACUCCUGCAUUGCAGGGGGUUGGACUAGAGGACAAUUCUAGGAAUCUGCAGUUCUACCAUACUGGACUGUAGUUCACCUCUGAAGGAACACCUGUGUGAAGCAUCAUUCUGGUAGAGCAGUCAUCCAUGGAUACCUUGUUUGUGGUGACCCUUUCCUGGAAGCUGGUGAAUGUCAGCUGGCUCUCCUUGGUGUGGAUCAACUGAUCUUCUUCCUUCAAAUCCUUGCGAGGUGCCAUAAAGACCAGUUCCAGAAGACUUCCCAGACUCCCUGUCUUGUUGGCCUCCCUUCUCAUAUGGUGUGCCUAGAGGCUUUGGCAAAUGCUACCUCACAACAGCAACCUACUGGUACUUAAAAGCUUGCACUGGCUGCCCAUAAGUUACUGGAAUAAGUUCUUGUAUUAAUUUGCAAGGACCUUAACGACUUGGCUCCAUGAUACUUCUCUGUUACUGUUCUUCCAUGGUUCAGAUGCAGGGCUCUUAGCCACCAGAAACCAUGCAGUCAGUACUGUGCGCCCGAUUCUGUGAAACUCCCUGCCACCUGAGAUUAGACAGGCUCUCUAGUGUUUGACAAAGACCUUUCUAUUCCAGCAGGCAAUUUAAUGAAGACUUCUGUUAUUGGGAUUAAUUUUAAUUGAAUUUUUCCACUGUAUGCUUUGUGUGAUUUUUAGGUACACCGCUUAGAGAUUUUGGUUAUUACUGGGUAAGUGGUAUAUAAUGAACAUACAUACAUACAUACAUACAUACAUACAUAACAGCAUUCCCAAAACCUUUAGGUAUUAGAUGGAGAACAGAUGGGUGAGAUGCUAUACACAAUGCAACAUAUUUUUAUUUAUUGCUCUAAGGCUCAACCCACUUUUCACUAUAUCAAGGGGAGGUCUAUUGCCAAAGGAUAUGGUACUGUUUGGAG